AUAAUGAUACUCCCGGAAACGGCUCGGAGAGAUCCUCGGAGGGGUGAGAUUCCCGUGN
ncrna:unclassified sequences pemK RNA